GCGGUCGUGGUGAAGCGGUUAACACAGCGGGUUGUGGUCCCGUCAUGCGAGGGUUCAAAUCCCUUCGGUCGCC
rnacentral:tRNA from 1 species